GGCGAGUGAAGCGGCAAGAGCUCAAAUUUGAAAUCUGGCGCCGCGAGGCGUCCGAGUUGUAAUUUGGAGAGGCAUCUUCCGGUGGGGCGCCAGCCUAUGUUCCUUGGAANAGGACGUCAUAGAGGGUGAGAAUCCCGUUCAUGGUCGGGUGCCCCCACCUGCAUGUAGUGUCUUCUACGAGUCGAGUUGUUUGGGAAUGCAGCUCAAAAUGGGUGGUAAAUUUCAUCUANAGCUAAAUAUUGGCGAGAGACCGAUAGCGCACAAGUAGAGUGAUCGAAAGAUGAAAAGCACUUUGAAAAUAGAGUNAAACAGUACGUGAAAUUGUUGAAAGGGAAGCGCUUGAGACCAGACUCAGCCUAGGGCAAACAUCCUUCCUUCUGGUUGGUGCACUUGCCCAUGGCUGGGCCAGCACCUGUUGGGACGACGGGAUAAAUGUCUGGGGAAUGUGGCUCCCCUCGGUGAGUGUUAUAGCCCCGGACACCAUGCCGUCCGUCCCGACUGAGGACCGCGCUCCGGCUAGGAUGCUGGCGUAAUGGUCUUCAGCGACCCGUCUUGAAACACGGACCAAGGAGUCUAACAUCCAUGCGAGUGUUUGGGCUUCAAACCCUUACGCGUAAUGAAAGUGAACGGAGGUGGGAACCCCGCGAGGGGCGCACCAUCGACCGAUCCUGAUGUCUUCGGAUGGAUUUGAGUAGGAGCAUGGCUGUUGGGACCCGAAAGAUGGUGAACUAUGCCUGAAUAGGGUGAAGCCAGAGGAAACUCUGGUGGAGGCUCGCAGCGGUUCUGACGUGCAAAUCGAUCGUCAAAUUUGGGUAUAGGGGCGAAAGACUAAUCGAACCAUCUAGUAGCUGGUUCCUG
rnacentral:rRNA from 1 species